UACGUAGGCAGCAAGCGUUGUUCGGAGUUACUGGGCGUAAAGAGUGCGUAGGCGGUGCUCUAAGUUUGGUGUGAAAUCUCCCGGCUCAACUGGGAGGGUGCGCCGAAAACUGGAGUGCUUGAGUAUGGGAGAGGCAAGCGGAAUUCCUGGUGUAGCGGUGAAAUGCGUAGAUAUCAGGAGGAACACCGGUGGCGAAGGCGGGUCUCUGGGCCGAUACUGACGCUGAGGAGCGAAAGCGUGGGGAGCGAACAGG
rnacentral:rRNA from 1 species